GCAACUCGCCUACACGAAGUCGGAAUCGCUAGUAAUCGCGGAUCAGCAUGCCGCGGUGAAUACGUUCCCGGGCCUUGUACACACCGCCCGUCACACCAUGGGAGUUUGUAACGCCCAAGUCGGUGGCCUAACCUUUAUGGAGGGAGCCGCCUAAGGCGGGACAGAUGACUGGGGUGAAGUCGUAACAAGGUACC
rnacentral:rRNA from 1 species